GCUUUAUUGAGACAUAACUGACAAAUAAAAUUAUGUAUAUUUAAAGUUUACAACGAGAUGGUUUGAUAUCACACACAGUGAAACGAUUACACCAUCAAGUGAAUUAACAUACCUGUCACUUCACAGAGUAACUGUCAGACUGCUCCAGAAGAACAGGAGAAAUAGAAGAUCUGCAACUACAGGAGAAGAUGUCUUAGAGUAGCUUACAGGAUCGGAGGAUGGACAGUCCCGUGGCGGCCAGCAAUCCUGGGGGCUGCUCAGCCCAAAAGCUGGGAGCCUCAGAACAAGGGGACCAAUGAUGCCGCUCUAGUCCGAGGCUGGAGAUGUGAACACCACGUACCGCCCACCACCACCACCACUGAGAGCGGCUGGUGCUUCCACAUUUGGAGGCUGAAGAAUCUGGGGUCUGACUUCGGCCAGCAGCAGAACACACCGCGCAAGAAGGGCCUCGCACGCACACAGUCUGUUCCUGGCCCCCGCCUCUGGGUGAGUGCUUCCAAGUUCAGGGUGGGUCUUCCUCUCAGUUAACUGACUCCCCCCCUGAUCUUCUCUGAAAACACCCUCACAGUCACAGCCAGAAGUGUGCUUUACCAAAUCUCUAGGCGGCCCUCAAUCUAGUCAGGUUGACAACCAAAUGUAACCAUCAAUAACCUUUUUGUGUCUGUGGUAAAAACACUCAGAAUCCACUAUCUUGGCAAAUUUCAAGUUAUUACCUACAGUCACCAUGCUGUACACUGGGUCCCCAGAACUUAACUCAUCCUGCCUCACUGAGACUUGGUACACUUUGUCCAAUAUGUCUCCAUCACCCCUCAGCCAUGGGAAAGCACCAUUCUACCCUCCGCUUUUAUAAGUUGGACUUUUUUGGAUUCCACAGGUAAGUGAGGCCAGGCAGCUCUUGUCUUGUGUCUGGUUUACAUAGCAAAUUAUCUUCCAGGUUUAUCCAUUUUGCUGCAAAUAGCAGGACUUCCUUAUUUUUUAUUUUAUUUUAUUUUUGUGUGUGUGGUGCUAGGAUUGAACCCAGGCCUUGCGCAUGCCAGGCAAGCACUCUACCAGCUGAGCUACAAUCCCAGCCCAACUUCCUUAUUUUUUAAUGUUAAGUAAUUCUCCACUCUGUGUGCACGAAUCACGUUUUCCUUAUCCAUGCAUUCACCAAUGGACACUUAAGUUGAUUCCGUAGCUUGGUUAUUGUGAAUAAUGAUGUAGUGAAUAUCAGGGGGCAGAUGUCUCUUCAAGACACAGACUUUGUUUUCUCUGGAUAUGUACCCAGAGGUGGUAUGGAUCAUAUGGUAGAGGGAUUGUUGGAUCACAUCAUAUUCCUAACUUUUUAAAGGAACCACCAUAGAGGUUCACAUUCCCACUAACAGUGUGCAAGUUUUCCUUUUCUCCUCAUCCUCAAAACUGGUUAUUUUUCUAAUUUUUUGAUAAGAGCCAUUUAAACAAGUGUGAGGUAAUAUUUCACAGUGACUUUCAUUUUUGUUUCUCUGAUGAUUAGUGAUGUUGAGCAUUUUUAUACUCAUGUGUCCUCUAUCAAAAAUGACUAUUCAGGUCCUUUGUCCACUUCAAAUCAGAUGAGUGGAUUUUUGCUGCUAAUUUGUUUGCGUUCCUUUAUCUUCCAGAUUCCAAGCCCUUAUCAGAGGCAAGGUUUGCAAGAGUCUUCUCCCAUUCCGUGGGUUCUCUUCACUCUGUUGAUUGUAUUCUUUGCUGUAUGGAAGCUUUUUAGUUCGAUGCCAUCCAGUUUGCCUACUUUUCUUUUGUCCCUUGUUCUUUCAGGGUAAUAUAAAAAAAUCUGCUCAGAUUAAGGUCAAGAAACUCUUGCCUUGAGAGUUUUCUUUUCGUAGUUUUACAGAUUUAGGUCUCAUGUUAAGUCUUUGGUCCAUUUUGAGUUGGUUUUUCUAUGUGGUACAAAAUAAGUGUUCACUUUCAUUGUUCUGCAAGAUGGAGAUCAUUUUUCCUAGAAUCUUUAGACUUUAUUUGCUGUAAUUCUGCUGGCAACUACUUUUAAAAUUAAUUUUCUAUUAAGAUAUAAUUCAUACAUGCCAAAAAUUGACCGUUUUAAAGUGCACAGUAGGGAUUUUAGUGUAUUCACAAAGUUGUGCAUCUUCUAAUGCUAGAAUAUUUUCAUCAUUCACUCAAAACCCCAGUGUGUAAUAACAUUCACCCUCCCAAGAUCUCAGCCCCAGGACCAGAAAUCCACUAAUAUACUCUCUGUAACUAUGAAUUCAUCUGCUCUGGGCAUUUUUUAGAAAUUAAAUAAAAUAAUCUAUGGUGUUUUGGGGCCUGCUGUCUCUCACUGAGCAUGUUUUCAGGCUCUUUGUGAUAUUUCUCAGUGCCCCUUUAGUCUUUAUGGUUGAAGAAUCUCCCACUGUAUGUAGAAAACAUUUUAAUACAUUCACUAACUGAUGGACAUUUUGGUUAUUUCCACUACUUGGAAUAAAUUACAAACCAAUGAAUCACACUGCUGUGACUGGGAACUACUUUUUAGUUCACAUCUAAUGAAAAAUUACUGUUGCAAUUUACAACUCUAGAGAAAUUCUGUCUCACUUAAUCCACCAGCAACCUGGGACUUAGAUCACAGUAUCCCUUCACAUAGAAUGUCAUAGACCCAGAAGAGUCCUGCGUCUGGACCAAAGGAGGAGCCAUUGGAUUGACAGGUUUCAGAGUAAACUAGACUCCAAAUGGAGUGCCCUUCUCAGGAUUUCAUGUAGCUUUAAAACCUGCGAUAUAAGCAUGAUCAAGUUCAUUCUAUCACGUCCAUCUCCUCAUGAAUAAGCUAUGAGACUAAAUCAGCUGGUCCUGACCACCUUAUAAGGUUGAUAAAACAUUCCAGGAAAGAGCUGUAAAAUACACAGCAAGACGAGUUACAGAUAUUUUCAGCUGUGACCUGAUAUGACCCACGCAGUGUGCCAGCAAAAGGAUCUAGAUUCUUCUUCAUCAUAAACUGGAAGUCAGAUGGCCUGAUCUUUGUCCUUACUUCCUGGGUGAGUCUCAGGAAAGUCACUUCCCUCACUAUUGGACUCUCCCAAGAGUGGCAACCAGUGGUACCCACGCUGGGAACUCACUACUUCUCUUUUGUUAAAAAAAAAAGAAAAAGUCAAGCACACUGCCUGAGUGAAUCCUAGUUAGCUGUAUAGGAGCAGACAAGCUGCUUCACUCCUCCCUAGGCUGUUUCCUUGUGUUUAAAACGUGUAAUAACAGCCCCCAUCUCAUAUGGUUGUGGCUCAGGGUUAAAUGAGCUAAUAGAACAACCUCACAUAGUGUGACGCCCUAUAAUGUUAGGUACUUCUUAGUGAACUGCCUGCCUGGCUCCGUCCGCCUUGGAUUUGGAUGUGCUCUAGGUCCCCUUUACUCCUGCCCGUGCUGCAGACUCUGCUCUCUGCUUCCCUAUUCCACAGUUCUCCAUGUUGACAGGACCCUCAGAGUGGAGUUCACCUGCAGAGCUUAACCCUCACUGUCCAAACUGACUGCCCGACUUCUGCUCACAGAAAGAAGAUUCUGCCAAGUUCCUCAGUCAGGAGCCUCUCACACCAAACACAUGCUGGCUUGCUUUUUUUCUUCUGUUUCUAUAAUUUAAAACCUUGGGCUGUGGCUGGGGCUCAGUGGUAGAGCACUUGCCUCACAUGUGUGAGACCCUGGGUUGGAUUCUCAGCACCGCAGAAGAAAAAAAUAAACAAAAUCAAGUCAUAAAAAUUAAGAAAACCUCAUUUGGGAUGUUGGAUGAACCUUACCUGGGUUUUGGCUCAGGCUUUGCCAGUAAAUCACUGAAGACCUUGGAUCAAGUAUUUUUUCCCCUCUUGGUUUCCUUUUUCUCACGGAUGACAGGAGUGGGCUUUAUUCCUGAAGAUGUAAGGGUCCAUCUAGUUUUAAAACUCUGACUUCUUCUUGUUCCUCUCUGCCAGGCUCCUGACCACCACUUUUCUCAAGUUCACCUUGGUCUGUGUUCCAGGGGCUGCAGGCAAUUCUUUGUCUGGGGCUCACUUCCCUCUGUGUCUUUCCUUAGCAGAGGGAGAAGGGUGGAAAUGCUCUCCUGCCUUUAUAAAGGAAGCACUGACUUACAUUAAUGGAAAAACUGGUUUUCUAGAGAAGCCCAAGGCUAACAGUGAGACUGACACCCUGUCUUUAUAGGUGGGAUAACUGUGAGACUAAUAACUGACUGCCUUCUCCUAAGAGACUGAUGUAGGGGAGCCUAAUUAACCCACUAACAAGCAGGGCAUGAAGGGGUGAGUUGUCUCAAUAAUUGAUGAACUGAUUCACAAGGGGCUAAUCAUUGACUCCUGCGGGCACUAAUCUGAUCCUUCACUAACACACUGCUUGGUUGCCUUAUCAACAGACUGGUGACUCAUUUGCUGCCCUUUUGGCUGACCUGGUGACUGACCUGGAAACAGGCCGACCAGGGAAGUGAUGGGGAGGCAGGCUGACCAGGUGACAGGGGUGACAUAGGACAGCACAGACCAGGGAGCACAGGCACGGGCUCCAGGUGAACUGACCAGGGCUCCAAGCUCUCGCUGGCCGUUAACCCCUACAGGCCUGGGAGGCCUUGGUGCAGGGCCUCGAUGGCCUGUGACUGGAUCCCUGACUCCCACUGCCCACUGGAGAGCAGCCCCGCCUCCUGAACCUCAGCCUCAGAGCCCCAUGCAGGCCCCCUCUGCCACACCAGGGACGCCACAAGCAAUGUGCGCCCAGGGACAGGUCACCACCAUCCGUUUCAUGCGCUGGAAGGCAGUGUAGGGCUCAAAAGGGGACAAAAAAAACCCCGCAGGGCACAGGCAUCCCUCAGCCAAUCAGCGCUGGGCGGUCUUUUCUGCAGCCAAUCAGCAGCUGCACACGCCUACUCCACACCCCCAGCCAGUCAGGCAGAUGGAGCACAGUCCUCUGGGAGCUGAGGCACAGUCACCAGGACCAAUCAGGAGCUGAGCCUGCAUGUCCCGCCUCUCUGUGACCAGUGGGAAGGAGCCAAUCAAUAGGGGGGGCAGAGUCUUGGGAGCUGAUGGGGAGCCGUUUUUACUCAAGAGAGGCUUUUCUUAACCACACUCAUGAAAGCACAGAUCAUUGUGUUCCUCUUGAUUGAUCCCCUUAACCUCUUAUGCUUUACCCAUUGCAUGGUUUCUGACCCACUUUAAAACAUUAUGCUGAUCAAUUCUGCUUUUAUUGCCUGACUGUCCCACUAGGACAUAAGCUCGAGUAGGCAGAAAUUGUUGUCACUACAUUUCCUGGCUGUGUCCUCCAGGCUUUUGAAAUAUUGAGUGCAUCAUAUUCACCCGUGAGUGGUCAUUUAAUCAGGGACAAGCACAUUGGGCGGGCCUGGGAGUUUCACAGGUUAGACAUAGAGAUCACUUUGUAAGAUGUGGCUGAUGUGGAUAAACAGGUGACACUCGCACCACCAGAGCAGGAGAGUCCCAUGUGCUCCACAUCCCUGCCAACGGGUGAUGAAGGCCUGUGUGUGUGUGUGUGUGUGUGUGUGUGUGGUGACUGUGUAAACUCUAUAUUCAUUGAAGUAAAAUUUAGUUGUGUUUCAUUUUUUAUUUUUCUUGUUUUAUAGCAGUUAUGCAAUUGAUAUAAAUUCUUUUUUUAGGUACACACACUGCAAAUAACUUCAAGUCUUUGCUUGCCUUUCACUCUCUUAGUGUUGUUUAUUUAUUUAUUUUAUUUAUUAGGGAUUGAAACCAAGUGUGCUUCACGACUGAGCUAAAUCUCCAGCUCCUUUUAUUUUUUAAUAAAAGACAGGGUCUUGAUAAGUUGCUUAAGGCCUUAACAAUUUUGCUGGGGCUGGCCUCAUACCUGCAAUCCUCUUGCCUCAGCCUCCUGAGGCACUUGGAUUACAGAUGUGUGCCACCACAGCUUUUAAAUUUUAAUGCUUUUAAAAUUGAGAGAAGUUAUUAGAAUUUUUAGUGAAAUUCAAUUUAACAUUUUUAAAAAAUUAGGGCCUGGGUUUGUGGCUCAAAGUAGAGUGCUUGCUUCACACCUAUGGGGCACUGUGUUUGAUCCUCAGCACCACAUAAAAAUUAAAAAAAGGUAUUAUGUCCACCUACUACUAAAAACCAUUUUUUAAAAUAUGGCUAAUGAUUUUUUGUAUACUGCUUAAGAAAUAUGAGCCCCCACAAGGUUGUAAAAUAUUCCUCUUUGCUUCUUCUAGGAGCUUCAUUGUUUUACAGUGACACUUAAGUCUAUUAUAUAUACCAAAUUGAUAUUUGGAUGUGAUAUGAAAUGUGGAUCCAGGUUAAUCCUCUUUUUGUUUAGAUUUCUAAUGACUUUGGCACCAAUUAUUGAAAACACCAUUUCUCCCCUGAAUCCCUGUGGCCCUUAAUCACCCCCAGUUCUCUGUGUUCACAGGUCUUUAUUUAGGUGCCCUAUUCUGUCCCAGUGGCCUGUUUAUCUCUGCUUCCACCAAAACAAGUAUCUUAGUUACUCUAACUUCAUCCAAGUCUGAAGGUCAGACAUCUUCAGGAUUCCAGCUUUCUAUUACUGCAAGAAUGUCUUCAUUUUUCAACUGUUUUGCAUUUUCUUAUAACUUUGAAUCAGCUUGUGAACCCCCCUCCACACACACACCUGCCAGAAUUUUGAUUGGAAUUUACUGAACUUAGGAAAAGUUUGGGGUGAAUUGAUCACAAAUGUGGUACAAUAUUCUUUUAAUUGUUUUUGUGAAAAUAAACAUGAAAUAAUAAUUAUGGUUUUAACCAUUUUAAGGUGUAAUUGUCAGUGUCAUUAAAGACAGAGGUUUCAGUUUGGGGUGUCAUGGUGGGGACCCUGGCAUGGACGUUCCUGCUGGUGGGCAGCUCCAUUUCCCUGUGGUCCUGCGUAUCUGGCACAUCCUCAGCACGAUGCUGGCCUCCAGAAUGAGCUGGUGCUCCUCUCUCCACACAUUAUGGGGAGAUUGAGGUCCAUGUUAGCCCCACAUGGUCAGUAGAGGUGACCAGUGAGGCCAUCUGGGCAGGACUGUCCUGGUGGAGGUCUGGGGUUAGGGACUCAUCUUCUUGCCGGUGUGAGGUCUGCUCAGAGGCUCUGCCUGCUCAUGGCUCAGCCUGUGUAGGUUGCAGGUUCCAGGAAUCUGUCCUCUCACCCAGGUGGGGCCACUCAUUAGCUAGGACUGUCCCAGGGGCUCAAUUAAUCAUCUUCAUUUCUCUAAAGUCACUGGAAUAUCCUCAUUUUCAUUUACGACUUUCAUGAUGUGAGAUUCUCUACUUGGUCAGUCUAGCUACACGUUGGUCAAUUCUGUUUGAUUUGUUUUAAGAAGCAGUUUCUUGUUUGCUUGAUUUUCUGUUACUUUUGUGUUCCGGUGUCAUGGUGUCUGUGUGACCGUGGUUCCCCUCUGUUAGGUUUGUACUUUGGUCUUUGCCUGACGUCAGGUCGCUGGUUGGAGACCUUUCCUCCCCAGGUCAGCUCUUAUGCUCACAUUUCUCUCCAGCUCUGCCCCCUGGACCCGUGGAUCCUCACACUGUGUCCCGCUGCUCCUCAUCUGCAGGAAUUGUCGGGUCUCCCUGGGGAGUUCUUCUUGCCCACGGGGUGUUCACAGUUGGUGUAGGAUUUCCACAUCCCUGUUGCUCUCUGCUCUCCUCUUGGGAUGGAUUUCUGGUCUCCUUCCAUCAUGAUAGGAAAAGAUGCCGCGCGAUUCCAACCUUAUAAAAUCCAUGACGACCUGUGUAUGGCCCAGGGGUCCUCCUGCCCCAGCAGAUUAUCCUGUUGAUAAAUCUCCUUCUGAGUCCAGGUUUGUCCUUUCCGUGAGACUGCAGGGUGACGUCCCCCUCAUCCUGGCUGCCUGGCCCUUGGGCACAGACCCAGGUGACUCUGGAGGACCCUGAUGUACAGGACCCGGCUGUUCCUUGGCUCCUCUCUCUUGGCCAAUUCCUGCCUCCCCUCCAGGUGCCGCUGGAAGGAACUUCUUCCAGGGAACCUCUCCCAACCUCCACUGCCAGGAAAGGACUCUGAGAUAUUCUCACUAGUCACAGGCUGGAGAACGGAGGAGGAAAGGACAAGGGAGGUUUGUGACAAUGACGGUUCCAAGCUAAAUCAAAAAAGAAAGAAAAACAAAGGCUCCCCCUCCCUCUCCUGCAGGUUGGAGACCCCUCAUCAAGGUGACAUCCUUCUGCUCUUAGAUCCAACCAAUCAAGGAGCAGCAACACCUUCCCUCCCUGGACUGCCCCUGUCCCAGGAUUCUGCUCGCUCUGUGUCACCUUGUCCCUCAUAUCCACAGCCAGUGUAAGUUCAGGGGAGAUGGUUUACAUUUCCUCUCCCCAUAAUGUCAUUCAAACCCUCCUGGUCCCUUAACUCUGGUGGGUGUUAUUCCAGCUGCCAUCUGGCCACGCUGCUGGUGGCCCAGGGGACUGGUCUCAGGGCCAGGUCUCUCCCCUGGGCCAGCAUCCGUGCUGCUCACCAGCCCUUUCCUUCAGACACCUCUUAGUCUCAAAGCUGAACAACUUCCCUCCCCAAGAGCUUGUGCCCUUGGCCCCAGACCCUGGGCCCUAAUGACCUGUUCAAUAUCUUGGGCUCCUAUUUACAGGAACCUCGUCACAUUGUGUUUUAGGAAGUGACCUAUUUCUGUCCUUUCCCAAACCCCAACCACUCAUGAGUUUGAGCUCCACCCAUUGGUAGAAAUAAUUCACUGGGAAACCAUUAGAGUUCCCAGAUCUGGCUCUUGGCUCUGGGGUUUCAAGGUAAAGAAAAUGAACAUGGACUCAUAAUGACUGGUCAUCUCCCAGGACAUUAAGCUUGAGGUCAACCACUAGACACUGUCAAUUAACCUCAAACUGGAACUUUCCCGAAGACACCAAAUGUCUUCUUUAAAAAAAAAAUGAUACUAGGGAUUGAACAAACCAACUUUCCUUAACCACUGAGCCACACGCCACAUCCCUGGAACAUUUUUUCCUUUUUCUUUCUUUCUUUCUUUUUUCUUCUAGAGACAGGGUCUUGUUAAGUUGCUGAGGCUAAAUUUCAACUUGCAGUCCUCCUGCCUCAGCCUCCCCAGCCACUGGGAUUGAAGCCAGGUGUGCUUUGACCACUGAGUCUUUUCUUUAUUUUUUUAAUUUUGAGACCAGCUCUUGUGCAGUUGCUGAGGGCCUUGCUAGGUUGCUGAGGCUGGCGAUGAACUUGUGAUCCUCGUGUCCCAGCCUCCCAAGUUACUGGGUUACAGGGUUGUGUCCCUUAAGCUGAUGUCUUAAGGUGAGGGAAGCACUGUGCCUCCUUCCUCCAAGGUUCCUGGGGGUGGCAGAUACCAUGCAUGUAGCAGAGCAUGAGGCAGAGAAACAGGAGAACCCAGCCACCCCCAGGGUUUCCUUCACAGGUGUGACGAGGAGGAACCAAAUGCACUUAAGUCUUUUACUGUGUGGAAACCAGACAGGGAGAGGAGUAAUGGCCCUUGUGGUGACCUUGAAAGGAACAAGUAGGGAAAUGAUGCAGGAGGCUCCCAGCACAGGCUUCUUUUUUGACACUGGAGGGAUGUCUAGCACAGAGUGGAGACAGUUUUUCUUGUCAGCUGGACAGAGGUCACUGCCCAUGUCCUGUAGGUGGAGCCAGGGAGGCUGCUCAGCCCCCACAGUGCCCAGGACAGCCCACCACACCACAGAGUCACCAGCCCCAAAUGCCCAAAUGGAAGGGUGCUGAGGGGGCUGAGCCCGGCUCCAGGCCACCCCGUGGGAAAGUGCAGGGGUGGGAAGGCAGGGGAGCACUUGGUGGGGAGGUGGGAUUUGAGCCACAGGUGAGCAUGUCCUGCCAAGAUGGAGACAGGGGAGGGGACUGCAGUGGGCAGAACUUCGAAGGAGGCCUGGAGAGGCUUCCUGAGAGUCCCAGGGAGGACCAGGUGUGCUGAGCAGGGCGGGGCUGAGACAGGGCUCUGGUGUGGAGGGGAGAUGGAGAGUCCCCCAGGGGCUCACUGUAGGGGGUUAGGGGGAGGACAGGGCUGGUGGGGACCAUUAGGAAGCUCCCUUUGCUGAUGCUGUGGGUGAUGGGCUGUGGGUGAGGGGGCCCAGAGGCUGGGGAGAAGGCUGUAGGAAUGGUCUGGGGAACAGAGGUCACAACCUGGACCUGGAGGUGGGGAAGAGGGCACAGAUCAGAACUUGGGGACUGUGGGAAGGGGCCACCAGAGAGAGAGGGAGAAGUGAAACACAACCCUGGCCAGGCCCAUGGGAAACUUCUCCUUAUAGAAACAUUAUCUAAUACUUCCUAUCUGCUAACUGGGACUUCAGCAGGUUUUCCCCUGUGACCACAGGACACUCCCUGGAUCAGGGGGCAGGUGGAGAGCAGCAUACGGCUGGUACCUUAGGGGAUUGUUAUGGUUGGGUAUGAGGUGUUCCCUGGAAAUCUCCUGUGCCAAUGCAGGAAUGUCCACAGGUGAAAUGAGGACACUGUGACACUGUCACCUAAUCUGUGGAUUAGUCCACGUGAUGAGAUAAUAAUUUGAGGGAUUACUGGGUGGUAAUGGGAGGCAUGUGGGGAUGGCUGGAAGAAGCAGGUCCCUGGGGUGUGCCUUUGGGGCUUUUACUUGUCCCUGGCUCUGCCCUCUCAUGUGCUCUCCUCUGCCCUGGGAUGAGCAGCUGUCCUCCACCACGCCCUUCUGCCACGAUGUCCCACCUCACCUUGGCCCCAGAGCAGUGGAGUCUGCCCACCACAGACUGAACCUCUGACUGUGAUUCCCAGAUAAACUCCUCUUCCUCUGAGCUGUUCUCACCAGGUGUUUGGGCCACAUCAGUGAAAAGCUGACACAGUCAAUUAGAAAAUUGAACAAUGACCUCAGCAGCACGUGGCACUCAACUGAAAGCACUUUGACCAGUCCCCCAAAGCUGACUGCUGCUGGACCCUUACCACACCCCAGACCUGCACUAGACUGCUGUGCCACUUCAUGAAUCCUCAAGAUGAAGCUGUGAGCUAAGUGGUCCUGUUAUCCCCAUUUACAGAUGUGCAAAGGGAAGAAGCAAGAGAUGGAGCUGUGAAGCAGGCAUUAGAAUCCUGGAACUCUGACUUCAAGUUUCCAUCCCCAUCACCACCAUCACCAUCACCAUCACCAUCACCAUCAUCACCAUCACCAUCACCAUCACCAUCACCAUCACCAUCAUCACUAUGAUCAUCAUCACAUUUUGGUUUUUGGGACUGAACCCAGGGGCACUUUACCAUUGAGCCACAUCCCCAGCCCUUUUCAAUUUUUAUUUUGAAAGAGGGUGUUGUGACUUUGCUCAAGGCCUCUUUUAUUGCUGAGGCUGGCCUUGAACUUGUCAUCCUUGGACCUCAGUCUCCCAAGGCACUGGGAUUACAGGCACAUGCCACUGUGACAAAACUAUUUUUUUUGUAAUUGAGGCAAAAAUAACAUGACAUAAAAUGAACCAUUUUAAAGCAAACAAUUCAAUGACAUUUAGUGCAUUCACAAUGUUGUGCAACCAGCUCUAUCUAGUUGCAAAACAUUUUCAUAACCUCAAAAGGAGACCUUUUGUGUCCACUAAGCAGUUGGUAUCCAUUUCCUCCUCCACUUCCUGGAACUCACCAAUUUAAUUUCUGUUUCCAUUGUUUUACCUCCUCUGGACAUUUCCUAAUGUUGGAAUCAUACAAUAUGUGAUCAUUCAUGUCGGGCUCUCUCAUGUAGCAUCAUGUUCUUGAGAUUCAUCCAUGCUGGAGUGGACCUCCAUGUUCAGUCCUUUUAUGGCUGAGUGAUACUCCACCAUAUGGGUAGGUCACAUUGUGCUGAUCCGUUCAUCAGUUUAUGGGCUUUUGGUUUUUCUUCACCUUCUGGCUGUUACAAAGGGGUUUAAAAUUUACCCAUUGUUCUCUAUUGUUUCCCUCAGACAAUUUAGACAGUCUGUAGAUCCUGUAAAUAAAGCUAUGGAGAAGAGAUGAAUGAGAUCCAAGAGGCAGAAGUUCUAGAAUUUUCCCAGGGUGGUGGGAAGGACUUGGAGAAGGCUCAUGCUGGAGAGACCUUUGUCAUUGGGUCUUGAGGCUCUUUAUACAGUACCAGAGAGCUCCCAGGCCCAGGGAAGCAGGAGGACGGGAAGACUCACCAGAUCAGGAAGAGGCUCAGUGGCCCCUUAGAGAAACAGGCAGAGAGGACCUCAACUGGGUCAUGAGAGAUUGGAGGAUGAAAGGGUGAGACUGUUCCACAAGAUCCUGUGAGUGACAGGCCUAGGAUCACGUUCAGUGGUAAAUCAGAGCUGGAUGCAGAGAACAAUUUUCCUCUACCCCACCGGCCUAUAUAUAGGACAGAGUGCACAUGCCACUCUCACCUCCUCAUGUGGCGAUGUCCUGAGGUGAUCUCAGAUUUCAACAAGGGCAUCUGGGUGAGGGAUUUAUAGUCACUGUCUGUACCAUCUCAGCAACUUUUCUGUAAAUAUUAAAUUCCUCCAAAAUUAAAAAUUUAUUUAAAAAUAAGAAAGGGUUGGGGAUGUGGCUCAGGGGUAGGGCACUUGUUUAGCCUGUAUGAGACCUGGGGCUCUGUCCUCCUCCCUGCAGAAAAAUAAAAUGAAAUAAAAAUAAGAUACAAGGCAGCGUGCAUAGAAAGUGUGCAUGUGUGUGUGUGUGUGUGUACUUGAAUGUACACACAGAGGUUCCCUAUGAAAGGAUAGUCAAGCAGGGAGAGACACAAGAUGUGAGGAUUACCUUAUUCUUACUCAAUUUUACUGCAUGUUGAAUUCUGUUUUCCUAAAAUCCAUGUAUUGGAGCCCUAACCCCCAUACAGUGGUAUUUGGAGACAGGCCUUUGGGAGGUGACUGGUGUCACUGAGGUCUUGGGAGUGGAGCCCUCACAUAGGACUAGUAAGAGGAAACACUGUCACCAGGGGGCAUAGGUGCGAUGUAUGCGGUCGAGGGGAGAAAUAAAGAAUGUGCACACACUUCUGCCCUUUUGAUAGCUCUAAUCCCUCAAAUCACUCAAUACAAUUUCACUCUGUAGGUUCUUAACCAAGAAAAGGUCAAUCCUUAAUGCCAGGCACUGCAAUAGACAUAGUCAAUUCACAGCAAACAAUUCUAGAUAAUUAAUUCUAGGCACUGCAAACACACUUAAUCAUCAGGCUCAGGACAGGCAUCCCCUCUGGGUGCUAAGUUCCAAAGUCUCAAGCCUUAGGCUUUCCGUCCAGCAGAUGCCCACUCACUCAGACCACAGUGACCAGUUCCUGACCCAAGGCAGGCUUCUGGCGUGGAGUGGACGACCAGUCCAGGAGAGGGUUACAGGGAGAAGUUGCAACUCUCACCAGUGUCCAGAUGAGCUGGUAGAGUUUGAGGGCAGUGAGGAUCACACAGAGGAUCAGGAAAUGAUGACAAGUGAUGGGACGUCAGUCCAGGUCCUCGUCAGGCCCUCCAGCUGAGUGCAUCCUUGUUUCCGCUGGCUGAAUCCCUGUUCAUUAGCUCUAUUAUUCAUACUAAAUUUGGAGCUUUUGACCACCAUUUCAACCCUUAUCAUCUACCCCUGGGUUUCUCCAUGACGUCAUUUACCCUGGGGUCAGAAACAUCUGGUCUGCUGGUCUCCACCCUGAUCUUCUUCUCUUUCCCUCUUAUCAGGCCAGGACAGCCUGCCAGGGCUGCACUCUGUUAUCAGGGUGAGGGGAGGUGACUUCUCUGAGGACACACUGGAGGUCCCCUUAGGUGACCACUGACACUGCAGGUUUCAAACUGGAGUUUUAAAUGGAGUUGCUUAGGCUCAGGCCUCAGGCCAUCCUCCAAACACCAAAGAGUUUGGUUCCUCUUUCUCCACAGUGUGAGACAGGAAGAGGAUAAGAUGGUCAUCUAAAAUCCAGGGGGAAAACCCUCACCAGGAAACAAAUGGGCCAGCACCUGGAACCUGGACUUUUAGCCCACAGGACUUGAGAAGUAAAUUUCUGUUAAGUCACCCAGUGCACAGUAUUUUGUUACAGCAGCUCAAACAGACCAAGACAAACUGUGUGCUUACUAUUAUAAAACAAUAGCAUUGCAAGAUUGAAGGGGAGCAGGCUGGGUUGGGACCCUAAGGAGAAUGAGGGCAGAGUUUGGGACAAGAAUGUAGCUCUGGGAGCUGGGGUUGUGGCUCAGUGGUAGAGAGCUUCCCUAGCAUGUGGGAGGCACUGGGUUUCAUUCUCAGAACCACAUAAAAAUAAAUAAAUAAAAUACAUGUCCAUUGACAAUUAAACAAUAUUUUUUUAAAAAGACUAUGGUUUGAAGGCAAAGGAGCAUCUUUGAAUCAUUAUGAGUAAAAUAUGUAGAAGUGGCUAUUAAUUUAAUGAAUAAAUAACCACCAAACUUAAAAAAAAUGUAGCCCUGGGACAGGUGAGAGGGGAAGUGUCUUUGGGAUCCCUUGGGGACAGGAGGAGGAUGGAGUUUGUAAGGUGACAGUGGGUGGGUUCCUGCCUUUGCUGGUCCUGCACCUGGUCUGACCUCCUCCUGAGCUGUGAAACCCAGGUCUUGUCUGAAGCUGAAACAGUCCCCCCUCCAUCCCACCCCGGGGAGGGUGGCUGUGCCCACCUGUGCCAUCUCACAUGGCCGGGUUCUGUGGAGACAGGAUUGUUCUUCUCAAGUAACAGGAAGGUGGCUGUGGAUACCUGUCCCCAGAGAUUUAGGAAGGGGAAGGCCAUGGGUUCUGUGAUGCUCCCCCUUCCUCCUCAGUCCUGGCUUUUAGGGACCUGGGCACCCUGACCUGGCCCUCACAGGACACAUUUAGCCUGACAGCUCUCUCCACCAUCACCUCCGCUCCAGGGAGGUCACAGGAAAGGUGCGGUAGGAGCCGUGGUCGUGGGGCCCUGGUGUGAGGUGACCCUGGGGAGCGGGGCGUUCUCAGGCCUGGGGGAGAGGCUUGUGCUGCCUCGGGAAGGCGCGUGGCCUCUCUGUGCAGCUGGAUGCCUCUGCCUCAGGGGUGUAGGCUGAGCCUACAGUGAAAUGGGGUCAAUCAGGGGAACUGAGGGAUGGGUUGGAGGUGGGGUGUGGUUUCCUGAGUGUGGUCGAGGAGGGCCUGGCUGAGAAGGGAACACCAAACUCCAUGACUCCGCCCACACCACAGGUUGGCUCCACCCACUGGCCACACAGAGAGGAGGGGCUUGCAGGUUCAGCUCCUGAUUGGCUCUGGUGGCUGCUCCAUGUGGCACCUGGAGCCAUCUGUCCCACUGGCUGGAAGUGGAGUAAGCUUUUGGAGCCGCUGAUUGGCUGCGGGGUGGGCGGUCCCUGUGAGGUCCAGGGUGGCCCAGGGCUGCAGUGAAGCCCUCCACCCCGUGCCCUGCACUGCAGAAGGACGCUGACUGGCCCCCUGGAGUGGCGGUGGGAUCUGCGUGGGGUCCCGCAAACUGGGCUGCAGGAGGCCGCGCUGCUCCCUAAUGGGCCACUGUAGCCAGCCAGGCAGCCACUGGCCGUCAAAACCCUGCGUCCAAAACCCUCACCACCGCCCUGCGGGGCUCUCAGAUGUGCAUGACCAGCUCCUGAAGGUCGGACCCCAAGAGCGCAGACUCCUGGUCAAUUAGCUCAGAGCCCAUCCAUUUACUGGUCAAUGGUCCCUUUUCAGCAUGUCCCUCUCAGUCACCUGGAGUUGCAGAAGACAGCCAGUGGGUCACCAGUCACAAGGCAGCCAGUGUGUGCUAAUGACCUAGUCACUGUCCUGAAGGGUGGAAAGCUCGUCCCCUUGAGGAUGGGUUCAUGUGGUCACCCCCAGUCUGCCAGGCCGAUACACCAUUAGGUUCCACUGUCCUCUUACUAAGGUAGUCCCACUCUAGGUCACCAGUCCCCAGCCCUGUGCCUGUCCCAUGGGUAGGGCAGGUAAUGGGUUUCACUGUGGCUCAUCUGUUUCCCUAGAAGCUCUCACUUUGGGACAGGCGCCCACAGGGUGUCAGGGGUUGUCUGCUGUCCCACUCCACCCCUUGUCCCUUCUGCCUCAGUCAUGUUCUUAUCCAGUAUGCUCUGGGGUCUCGGGAAACCCAAGUCUCAACCUCUUCCUUCAUCGCCAUCUCCUCAUCCUCAUCCUCCUCCUGCUCUCUGGGGACAUGGGUGGUGACUGAGCCACCAGGUGAGCUCUGCAGCCAACAGCCCUCACAGCUGUCCCACGUGUGACACUCUGGUUCCCUCCUGUUCAGCCCCUUCAUCAGCACACUGGUCCCCUCCAGGAGCCUGGAGACCUGGCAGGAGAAGGGACACUCUCCAAAGGGUUGUUCCUCUGGGGCUGGGGUGGACUAGGAGAUGAGAAGAACUUUCCAGACACCCUGAGAGGCUCUCAGAACAUCCUGUGAGACCACCACACCUUCAUGGGACCCUCAGGCAGGGCUAGGACAGGGGCUCCAGGGACAGAUCCACUUCCCAGUGCUCCUGGGCUCCCUGCUGGCCUGGGACCCAGGACCCCCCUCUUAGCCUCCUGCCUCUCUACUCCCCACACCUGUAGGGGGGCCAGUUCCCCUCUCCCCUGGCCUGGCUGGUCCCUUCCUGCAUUCCUGAGAAAGCUGCCUGGCCCUGUCCAUCCUGCACUGGUCACUCUGAGCGUGGAUGCACCUGGUGCUCGAGGUUGGGCCAGCACCAGGGUUGCGAGGCCAUGGGGUCCCUGGAUCCCAGCAGCAGGAGGAGAAUGGUGACGUCAGUGAGCAGGGCAGCUGGGCACUGGGAGCUAAGUGAUCCAGAUGGCAGGCAGUGGCCAGAGGCACUGUGACACUGUCAUUUCUCUCCGACCAGGACAUUGGGUCUGGCUGGCCUGAGGGCCAGAGCUCCAGUGUCCCAGGGCAGAGUGAAGGACCCUCAGGACACAGGGUGGCUGCUGCCCUGCUGUGUGUGCUGUAGCAUGAGCAGGUCCUGCCUGUGUCCAUGGCCAGGGUUUGUGCAUUGUGGUGUGUUUGUGUUGGUAUCUGUGGCCUCUGUUUGUGUCUGAGGUAGGUGUGUGUGUGCAUAUGUGGUGUGCACGUCAGCAUCUGGAGUGUAUAUGUGUCCUGCCUGUGUGUCUGCAUGUGUGUCCAUGGUCUUUGUGCACAUGUCUGAGGUGUGCAUGUGGAUUUUUGCGUGUUUGAGCUGUGAUGUGUCUGAGGUGUGUAUGCAUCUCAUCUCUUAGUGCAUGUGUGUGUCUGCAUGAGGAAUAUGUGUGAAUUUUGAGAUGUGCCUGUUUAUAUGUGUGAAUGUGUGUUUGAAUUUGUGCAUGUGGAUGCAUGUGAUAUGUUCACUCUCUGUAUGUGCAUAUGGAAUUUCUUUGUGUCUGUGUGUGUAUACCUGUGGUCUGUGUGUAUGUUUUUGUGGAUUGUGUGUGCAUUUGUAUGAUUGCCAUGUUUUGUGUGUGCCUUUGCAAAUAUUAGUUUCUCAGGAAUGAUGUCCAUGGGGGACAUAUUGAAGAGUCCAGUCCAUCCCUCAUUCCCCAUAAAAAUAAUCCUAUUUUGUUUCACUCCAAACUUCUUGUCACCAACCAGAAUAACAUGCAACACACUUAGUUAUUAUUUACCUGUAUUUCUCAGUAUUAAGUUGUGUACCUAAUGAUGAUUUUGUAUCUCUUCUGCUUACUGCUGAAUCCUUCUUAGAAAAAUGUGUGGCAUAUGUGAGGUGCUCACUAGUUACUUCACAAAUGGUAAGGAAAUACAGAAAUGCAAAAUGAGAUUGCUUCUCCAAGGGAUGACUCUGUGCUCUUAGAGCAUCCUGUCUGCAGUGAUCUGAUCCCAGCCUGCUGUGCCUUUGUGCUGUGUGACCAUGCCCUAAGGGAGAGAUGGAGAAGGGCAAACCAUUCCUCCCACACAUGCACCUGCCUUCUGUCUCCUGGAGGCCCUUGGUGUCCACACAGUGAGCUGGUUUCCUAGUUCAUUCACAAAUUCCUAUCAAUACACUUGUGUUUCUUUCUCUCCUUUCUGGAUCUCUCAUUAGUAAUGAGUGAAGUAAAAUAUCUAAUGUGUUAAUUUCCCUGUAUGACAGUCAUGGUGGUGUCCCUCUUUGGGGAAAAUCGUCCUUGGAUGGAGCAGUGAGGAAACCCAGCUGUGCCUCUGUGCACGGGGUCCCUGCUGGGUCUGUGCUCUUGGCCUUAGAGACAGCGCCCCAGGCCUCCAGGUGGAGCAGAUCCUGGGGAGGCCACAGGUGAGGAGGAAGCUGGCCCAGGUGGCCCCCCUCGCAGGCAGGGACCAGAGGAGAGGGGCACAGGGAGGUGGGGAUGCAGGCAGGAGGUGCCCGUGCCCAGGUCUCAGUGGCACCCAGACUCCCUGCCCCUCCAGGACUCUGGGCUCAGGUCAGCCUGGGCUGAGAGGAAACUGCAGGAAGCAUCUGGGCAGAAACUGGGCUGCGGCCUGCGGAGCCUGAGGCCACCUGGCAAGAUGGACUCUCCAGACAGGAAUGUGAGAAGACAGAGGGGAACCUCUGAGGGGAAGAGGGAAUAAAUUCAGACGAAGAGGGGGGAAGCCCUGCGGGUGUGGGCUGCCGGGAGCAGGCUGCUCACCAGAGCCAACCUGAUUCUCCCAGGGUCUGGGAGUGCUCUAAAUGCCACUGUGAGUGACUCCUGCUCCUUACCAAUGCUGUCCCUAGACAGCAUGGCCACUCCCACCUGGUCACUGGGGAUGUCCCUGGCUAACCCCCCCUCACCUCAGGACAGCCUGAAUCCCUAGCUAACACACCCGGGGACAAGAAGCCCCAGCCUGGACACACCCCCACAGGGUCCUGGACACCCCUGACCAGCUCACAGACAGCGUGUCACCAGGCCCCUCUCUAACCCACCUCUGCACUGGAGUGUGGCCAAGGCUCUGCUCAGGGACCUCCAUCCACCAGGAGACUCUGGCCCAGGGACAUCCCUGCAGAGGGGCUGCCACUGACCGUGGUGCUGAAACAGGAUCAGGAUCCAGCUCAGCUGCCAAGGCUCUGCAGAGGGCUGAGCCCAGAGCCUGAGGAGCCCAGUGUGGCCCAGGAGGGGACGGCCAGGCCUGCUGCAGAGGAACAGGUGGAGACACGGGGGACCAGACAUCAGAGGUGGGUUGUGCUGAGCACCCCCUGCAGCUGCCUGUCCCCCUCAGGCAAUGUCCUCCUGAGGGCAAGGUCAUCUGCCCCCCUGGCUGGGCCACAGGGAAGGGCCUGGCUUGAUGAGGCCCUCUGCUGGCCCCUGAGCUGCCCCUUUACCAUCUUGCUUCACACCAGCCUCAUGACUUUGACCAAGAAGAAAACUGAGGGUCAGAAAUACCAGUCGCCAUGGCGCAGGCCUGAUGGGGAGGGGACCACCUGUGACCACUGAUUCAGCUCUGAUUGGCUCCCCUUCCAGGAAAUGUCGGUCCUGCCUGAGGCCAUCAGAGGGAUCCUCUUCUACCAGGAGCCCACGUGGCUGCCUUCUGCUGCUGCCCAGGGGUGGGGGCCGUGUUCCUGAGGGACCUGCCACUGUGGGGUGGUGGCGGCUGAAGGGGUAGAAGAGACUCUGUUUCCGUGUGUCUCUCCAGUCCAGGGUCCCAGACCAGCUGGCCUCGCCCACUUCUCAGAGUCCCUCUGUGUCUUGCACCAUUUACAGGUUCCUAGUUGUGCUGAGGCGGAAGGAGCAGGGGACAUGGGACAAUGCCAACUUCUCAGGACCAGAAGCCUCACAGCCACCUCCCAGUGUCUGGGCAGUGAAGUCGAGCUGGUCACGCCUGCCACCAGCCUGGACAGGAGCCUGAAGCAGCCGCCCUGCUGAGGACCUGGGAGUGGCGUCCAGGCCACAGGUGCUUUUCCCUCACGGCCAGAGUCCACCAUAGUUCACUGGUCCUCAUGAAUUUCUGGGUAAUGCUGUCCCUGCCAUGAUUUGGUGCUCCUUGGUGCAUGUUGGGCAGGUACGUCCUGAACUAGCUUUCAUUAUUAUAAUGGGGCUUUCUAGCAGGACAGUCAUGAGCUCUACUUCACCCCUCUACCCAGCAUCUGCCUUUGAGCUCAUUCUGAAGGGCACGGAGGUUUUAGCCACCUGUGGUCAGCCCUGAGUUCUAGAAAGUUCUCUCAGUGCUAGCCUGCAGUUUGCCUGUGGCAGGACAUAAAGGAGCUGGGAAGGCUGAGUAGGAGAGAGGAGGGAUGGAGAGAAGGAGGCUGGAGUGGAGGGAGGUGGUGCAGGUCAGGGGGAGAGCGCCCCCUGCAGGGUGUGGGCAGAGGGAGGCUGAGCUGCUGAUUCAGUGUCUGUGCUCAGGGGCCUCUGGACUAAGGUCAGCAGGAAGGACCAGGAUGCACAGUCAUGGGCUCCUGCAGGUGCAUGCUGGGAGCACCUCUGCUGCCCUCACAGUCACUGUUACACUAAUGCAGACCUGGAAUCUGGUACACGGAGGGGCAGAGUGGCUGGCCUGUGUCACAGGGUUCAUCAGGAGGGAGCACAGGUGUGAUCCAGGUCUCUGGUGGCAAAUUCUCAGAUAAUGUAAUUACAGCAGGAAACGCACUCAUGGCUGAUUACGGACUCCUUCUCUAUGCGGUGUCAGUCAUCAGCCUCUUGGUCCCACAAAGAGUAGGAUCCUGCCCCUGACCAGCACGAGCAGCUGAACUAAGAUGGCUCCUGUGAAUUUGCAGGGACACAAAAUAAAACACAAUUUACCUUCACACAAGCCUCAGGAUGGCUUCCCAGUCCUUGGCCUCAAACUCACCCAAAGGGGACAGCAAGAGAAACUCACAAUAGCUUU
rnacentral:lncRNA from 1 species